rnacentral:rRNA from 1 species
CAGUCGCCGCGGGAAUACGUAGGGUGCGAGCGUUAAUCGGAAUUACUGGGCGUAAAGCGUGCGCAGGCGGUUAUAUAAGACAGAUGUGAAAUCCCCGGGCUCAACCUGGGACCUGCAUUUGUGACUGUAUAGCUAGAGUACGGUAGAGGGGGAUGGAAUUCCGCGUGUAGCAGUGAAAUGCGUAGAUAUGCGGAGGAACACCGAUGGCGAAGGCAAUCCCCUGGACCUGUACUGACGCUCAUGCACGAAAGCGUGGGGAGCAAACAGGAUUAGAUACCCGAGUAGUCCCUGUCUCUUAUAC